UACAGACGGUCCAAACGUUAUUCGGAAUCACUGGGCUUAAAGAGUUCGUAGGCGGUCAAGAAAGUGGGGUGUGAAAGCCCUCGGCUUAACCGAGGAAUUGCGCUCCAAACUCCCUGACUUGAGGAGGCUAGAGGUAAGCGGAACUGAUGGUGGAGCGGUGAAAUGCGUUGAUAUCAUCAGGAACACCGGAGGCGAAGGCGGCUUACUGGGGCCUUUCUGACGCUGAGGAACGAAAGCUAGGGGAGCGAACGGG
rnacentral:rRNA from 1 species